UUAAAAAUAAUUUCUGUAUUAAUUUAUUUCAAUGGUUUAAAAUUAAAAAUUGUAUUUCUUCGGAAGGCCAACCAAAUAUACAGUGCAAAUGGUUCCUUAUAAUUUAUAUUUGUAUACAGUAAAAUAUAUGAUACAUUAGUUAAGUAUAGAUAGACGAUACCGUAAAGACGCGACCUACCGUUACGUAGGAUCCGAAUUCGAGCCCAGUUCGGAUGAUAUCAAUCAUGAAAAUUUUUGAGGCUUGGGGUAUCAAACCGGACCCGGAUGCCUCCAUUAAUUGUGGGCAUGAUCGAAUCCCCGAUGAACCAUCGUUGAUUCGAUCAUGCCAAGAACUUUACAAGUUGUUAUUUAUCGAUUGAAUCGAUAAAAUGGGCGAAAUUGAAAGCGAUAAUGUAGAUUAUCAUAUAAAAAAACUUGCAAUAAAUGCUCAAACUACAAUGACAAGAUCACUAACACUAGAAUUUAAUCUCUUCUAAAUCUUUAUGGCAUAUUUAUCCAAUUAACAAGAAGCUCCGCUCCUAUAAAGUUACUCUGCGUAUUAUCACGCAGAUGAACUUUAUAAUUACAAAUAAUUUCGUAAUUAUAAUAAAUAUAGAAAUAAUAAUCUUCUUAUCUUUGCCAAAAAUCCAAGAAUCUUCUCUACUUACGAAUAAUUAAUUUAUAAUUUUUAUAUCUCUCUCAUUUGAUUGGAAUUUUAUGAUUUAUGCAGUAAUUCGAUUAGAAGAAAGGUUUUCGUUGUGAUUAUUUUUGCAUUUUGAAAUUUCUAUCAAAAAUCAAUUCAUAAUUAUUUGUACUCGUAUUAUCACAUAAUUUUAAAGUUGACUUUUUUUUAGGUUAUUUAGAAUUAAAUAUCAAGAAAUUUUCUUUGAAAAAAAUGAUUUUUUAUACUAAUAAUAAUUCGAUAUUAUAGAUUAGAGCGUUUCUAGAGAAUUUUCGUCCACGAAAUGCGAAGGAAAUCGAAAAGGAAGGAAACGAAUGGACGGAUUUUAACGGAAACUGGUAAUAAAAUUGGUCUAUUUCUCGAACGGAAAUUAAUUACGUGCGCCAUCAGAAAGAAAAGGAGACGCGAAAUCCAAGUUUUAAGUUUAAACUCACUCAUCAAUGUCUCAGUUCGAAUUGCUUUCAGUUUCGGGCAUAAUGGUGCACCCACCUUUCGGUUGAAAACAGCAGUAUGCACCUGCAUUCUUGUUACUCAGUGGCCAGAACCAGUGAAUGGCUUAAAUGUGCAGGUGCACAACUCUAUAUCAACUGAACAUCCAUACUAAGAAUAACAUUGAUACAGUGAAGAACCUAAAGCCAUCAAAUUAUAUAGUAGUAGUUUAUUUGACAUAUAAUUCAAUACAAUAUCAAAGGGGGGAGCCAUCAAAUUAUGUAAGCAGCAGUAAAUCAGACCAAGUACUGUAUUUCCAGUUCCUACUGUAAGAUGGGCUAGAGGUUGAAUUGUCAGCAUUACUGGAAACAUAUGGCGAUCACAGAAUAUUAAGGAGAUGGUGGAAAAGCUCUCAUAAGCUUUGUGAGAGUUACAAAUUCCAACAACAACACUGCAUUGAAUUGUACACCAUUGAUAUCACAGCUAGUAUGAAAGAAGACAUGUACUGGUACAUGACAGGAGAUUGCCUAUCAUCUUGAUGUUGUCACUGUGACUGCUGGAAUGCACAUUUGAAGGUUAAGUUGAGUGCUACUAAAAGCCAAGAUAGGUGGAUCCUGCUAAUUCAAUGAACAGAACACCUGACAUGUGAUAUAUGAUAUGGCAGUUCAUCAGGAAUUUAUACAUAGUGAUCAAACAGGCAGUAAUUUAUAAAAAGAAGUUUUGAUUGAAUUUGACUCAAAGAUAGUUAAAAGAAUUCUUCUCAAGUUGCUUAAAAAUAAUUGGUGGUUUCUUUAUCAUGAUAAGAUUCAUUCACACACCAUUGUCUUCAUUCAAAAAUUUUUGCUUAGGAAAAAAAAUGUUCAGCAAUAAUAAUAUCCUCUAUAUUCACCUGAUGACACUCCAUUCAUCCAUAAUAAUGUGAAAUCAAAACUCAAUAUCCUCACAGUUGCAAGUUUCCAGCAUUACUUCUGAAAGUAGCAGGAACAUUAAAACACUUGCAUAUUUUAUAAGAAGAUACUUAAAGAAAAAACAUUCCUAGAAAUGUUGUUAGUAUAAGCUUUUUGAUUUUUGAAUAAAAGUUAUCCUAGACCUUUUUGAUCAGCCCUCCAUAAUAAAUCUUGCAAUUAUAUACACAAUAUAUAUAUAAUCCUGUGGAAAUUGCAAGAUUUAUAUUGAAUGUAUAUAUAUUUUCCACAGAUCAAGACUGUGUUAUAUUCCUUAUAGUUGUCAGCCUUUUUUCUUAAAGUCUCCUUCUAAAUUUCUAUCAACUCAAGAUAUCUGAGUGUGUUCUAUCCACUGUUUAGUAUAGAAUUUUGAUCUGGUCAAAUGAACUGUUUCAUCAAUGUUUUGAAGCAUGCCAGUUCUUCUCAGUGAUGACAUUAAAAAAUAAAUUUUGGAAAGAAAAAUUUGAUAUUCUUAAAGCUAUCUGGCUCAUUCAAAAGGCAUGGUCAUAAGUCACUCAACCUUAGUUAAAUUCUGCUUUGGGAAAGCUGUGUUCUUCCUGCAUUCAAGGAGAUGGAGAUGAUGUCCCUGAAAUUUUGAAUGAAAUUGUGACAACUGCUAGAUAUCUUGAAUUGGAGAUGAAUGAAGAUGACAUUGAAGAGCUCAUAAUGGAACAUGAAACUGAUCUGAUGACAGAACUCCAAGAAUUCUUGAAUGAAGAAUACCAAGAAACUCAGUGAGAUGUGUUUUCUUCCAAAAAAGAGUAAGACAAAAGAGGACCAAUAUUGACAUCUGCUAUUAAAGAUCUUUUGAAGACGUGGGAGGAUGUCAGAACAAUGAUUUUAGAAUGGCAUCCAAACCAAGUUGAGGUUAAUAGGCUUGGGUAUCUCUACAAUGACAAUGCUAUUAAUUUCUUCUGAAAAAUCCUGAAGAAAAGAGAAAAGCAAUUGACAUUGAACAGAUUCUUUAAUGUCCCACAAAUGGAAAAACAACUUGACUGAUGAAAAUGUAAAACUGUGUAGGAUCUCCAGAACGAAUUAAUCAAAUUCCCAUAAAAAUCCCAUAAAUUGAUAAUCAGUUAACGAACAAUUCAGAUAGUGCACAUGGUCUUUGAAUGGAUCACAUUCGUUAACAGAUCACCCACUGUAGUAUGGUGUUUAAUUUGGCUGUGCACUGCUUUAUCAGAUUUCUUGAUUUUAAAUUUUAUUUAGACAAAUAAAUAAAUAAUUG
rnacentral:lncRNA from 1 species